rnacentral:misc_RNA from 1 species
AAGUCGGAACAAGGUUUCCGGAGGUGGGACGAAUUCUGGGGGUGGACUGCUGUGCAAAUUCCAGGACCGUUCGGGUUGAAGUAGCGAUCUUUUUGCUUGUGGCUCUAUGAGACCGUCCUCUCUUGGCUGCAAGGUAAAAGGUUGCUUUUAGGGAGUUCCAAAGGCGGUUGGGGGAAUUGGGCCAGGGAAUUCCAAAGGCUUCCAGCUGGGAGUACCGGGUUAAUGCGUCGUAACUUACUUUUUUGCUAGGUAAAAAGUUCGGGAUUUUGGCUCCCUUGAAUUGUAUUGCCAACCUUCGCGGGGCCCUUCGAGGCACCCCCCAUCAUAAAACCACCCGCUGCAAAACUUGCCGCCAAGCACCACCAGCUCACAUCCUUAAACGGACCAGGAGCCGGAAACCGAACAAUGGAUAUCUUGGCUCUC